rnacentral:tRNA from 1 species
GUUUUAAUAAUUUAAAUAAAAUAUUAGUUUUGUAAACUUAAAUUAGGAAAACCUUUAAAACU